rnacentral:lncRNA from 1 species
CUCCCCCCCAGGACACAGAAUUAAUUUACUGAGCUGGAAAAAAAAGUCAGAAUUACUCACAGAGUCUUGAAGAUGCAAUGUCAGCUAUUUUAAGACAGAAACAUCCAAGUCAAUGAGUAUUAGCGCCCCACUAAGAAGACACAUGCAAAAAGCCGGGAGCUGGCAGGUCCUCUAGGUUCCUGCCACUAUAGGAAUCAUGCUCUAGGGUGCCAGGCCAUAAUUUAUGAAGCCGAGCUCCAGCCUCAGCCAAUCACCUAGCUGCCCAUAACUAGUCUAACUGGCUCAGAGGAGCUAGCUGUGCUGCAAUAAAGCCACAUGGAGGAGAUAUCCCACCUGAUAAUCUGUUUAUCUGGGCUGCCUUUCUGUGGGAAGGCCAAAGAGAAAUCCUAACUCCAUUGUCUGCAGGGAGGGAGGACAGAUGACCUGCGUCAAUAACACUGGAGCACCUGGGAGCCAGCUGACUCUUAUUGGGAUGCCCAGCCAACCCCAGAUCACAGCUAUUGGAGACCAAAAAGCAGCCACAAGCAAGGGGGAAAAUAUUGAAGGUACUCCUGCAGCAACUUCCAAUGAAAAGAGAGAGAAUGGAGGCUGCUGAAAAGACAAAAUGGCUGCCCAUGCCUCGACUGCAAUCUCUGCUCACCUCUCAGAACAAGUGCUGCUUCCUACCUACAUGAGACACUGCUGACCACCAUAGCCACCAUCCUCCCAAUUGUGGGCUUCUUUCAUCCUCACCAAUUACUGUGUAUUUACUUGGCAAUAUUUUGUGUAUAUAUAUAUAUAUAUAUAUAUAUAUAUAUAUAUAUAUAUAUGCUGUUGUUCCCACCCCAUCCCUAAUAGGGGAAGUUAAGCUUCAAAGUGGACAGAACAGAAGAUCUAGAAUAAGGAAGACCUGAGAUCAAAUUCAGGUCUUAACCACUGUUUGCCUCACUUUCCUCAUCUGUAAAGUGGGGAUAAUAAUAACACCUAUCUCCCAAGGUUUUUGUGGGGUUUGAAUGAUAUGAUAACUUUAAAAUUCAUAGCAUAAUGCCUGCCAUUAUAUCAAUGUUAGCAAUUUAAUAUUAUUAUUAAUUAUUAAUAACAUGUAUGUUCCUAAGUGAGAGACUUUGGGGGGUUUUGUUCUUGUGUCUGCACCCCUAGACCGGUGCCAGAACCCUAGUAAGCACUUAAUAAAUGUUUGCUGACUGAUUAAAAUUGUUGCCA